GAUGAACGCUGGCGGCGUGCUUAACACAUGCAAGUCGAACGGUGAACACGGAGCUUGCUCUGUGGGAUCAGUGGCGAACGGGUGAGUAACACGUGAGCAACCUGCCCCUGACUCUGGGAUAAGCGCUGGAAACGGCGUCUAAUACUGGAUAUGUGGCGUGACCGCAUGGUCUGCGUUUGGAAAGAUUUUUCGGUUGGGGAUGGGCUCGCGGCCUAUCAGCUUGUUGGUGAGGUAAUGGCUCACCAAGGCGUCGACGGGUAGCCGGCCUGAGAGGGUGACCGGCCACACUGGGACUGAGACACGGCCCAGACUCCUACGGGAGGCAGCAGUGGGGAAUAUUGCACAAUGGGCGCAAGCCUGAUGCAGCAACGCCGCGUGAGGGAUGACGGCCUUCGGGUUGUAAACCUCUUUUAGCAGGGAAGAAGCGAAAGUGACGGUACCUGCAGAAAAAGCGCCGGCUAACUACGUG
rnacentral:rRNA from 1 species